GACAGAGGCCUCAAGCGUUAGGCGGAAUCACUGGGCUUAAAGCGUGUGUAGGCGGACUUCUAAGUGUCUUGUGAAAUCCCACGGCUCACCCGUGGAACUGCUGGGCAUACUGGGGCGUCUUGGGCCACUCAGGGGUUGCCGGAACAAGCGGUGGAGCGGUGAAAUGCGUAGAUAUCGCUUGGAACGCCGAAGGUGAAGACAGGCAACUGGGAGUGCGC
rnacentral:rRNA from 1 species